CCUUGCAGCUUGGCCGACAGGAA
rnacentral:piRNA from 1 species